rnacentral:rRNA from 1 species
GAUGAACGCUGGCGGCGUGCCUAAUACAUGCAAGUCGAGCGAACGGACGAGAGUGCUUGCACUCUCUGAUGUUAGCGGCGGACGGGUGAGUAACACGUGGGUAACCUACCUAUAAGACUGGGAUAACUUCGGGAAACCGGAGCUAAUACCGGAUGAUAUUUAGCUUCGCAUGAAGCAAUAGUUAAAGACGGUUCUGCUUUCACUUAUAGAUGGACCCGCGGUGUAUUAGCUAGUUGGUGAGGUAACGGCGCACCAAGGCAACGAUACAUAGCCGACCUGAGAGGGUGAUCGGCCACACUGGGACUGAGACACGGCCCAGACUCCUACGGGAGGCAGCAGUAGGGAAUCUUCCGCAAUGGACGAAAGUCUGACGGAGCAACGCCGCGUGAGUGAAGAAGGUUUUCGGAUCGUAAAACUCUGUUGUAAGGGAAGAACAAGCACGUUAGUAACUGAACGUACCUUGACGGUACCUUACCAGAAAGCCACGGCUAACUACGUGCCAGCAGCCGCAGUAAAAC